AUUGAACGCUGGCGGCAUGCCUAACACAUGCAAGUCGAACGAGUGGCGGACGGGUGAGUAAUGUCUGGGAACCUGCCCGAUGCAGGGGGAUAACUACUGGAAACGGUAGCUAAUACCGCAUACCAUCGGAUGUGCCCAGAUGGGAUUAGCUAGUAGGUGGGGUAAAGGCUCACCAAGGCGACGAUCCCUAGCGGGUCUGAGAGGAUGACCAGCCACACUGGAACUGAGACACGGCCCAGACUCCUACGGGAGGCAGCAGUGGGGAAUAUUGGACAAUGGGCGGAAGCCUGAUGGAGCCAUGCCGCGUGGGUGAUGAAGGCCUUCGGGUUGUAAAGCACUUUUGGCAGGAAAGCGGUACCUGCAGAAUAAGCACCGGCUAACUACGUGCCAGCAGCCGCGGUAAUUC
rnacentral:rRNA from 1 species